rnacentral:sRNA from 1 species
GAGCGGCACGAUAUUAUUGCCGCGUGUCUGGUGAUUGGCCUGUCCCCCGCCCGCACCAGAUGGAGGACAAAGGCCUCAUCCCCCUCUCCGGGCCUUUGUCCCGCUUUCAAAGAGCCGUCACGGCGCCGCCUCCGCGCCGUGACGGUUUUUU